rnacentral:lncRNA from 1 species
UUCUACUGACAAAAUGCUGUUGCUUGAGAGUGCAGCUGAGGUUAUGCCAUUUCUCAUAAAGUCAAGUAAAAAGUAAAGCAGUGUUGACUUACUAGCUUAUCAACUGAAAGAACGCCUUGUAGCUUCUAGUCUGUAAAGCCUCAACUUAUUUCUAUUAUUUACAAAAAGGAUCAGUUUGUUCCAAGCCUUUUGAACUGAAGUGCUGCUGUUCCCUGCAGCAGGAGAGAGGUCACUAAGAGGAAGCCAGAGAAUCACACGGAUUGCUUCUUCCUCCAGCUCUAGAACUGAGAUGGCUCCUCGCCUCCCGAAAAACAAUGCGGCUGACUCUAACGAAAUUCACUAUCACCCACAGGCAGUAGCCAGACACACCUACUUUAUUUUCAAAAUUAAAUUGUUUGAUGACAGACAGAUAAGGAACAGAUGGCAGGGAAGGUGGAGAUAAUAAUAGGUUCAGAAAAUCUCCGUAAGGAAUGAACAUUUGGAUCCAAACAGAUUACAAACCAAAAUGAGUCUUCAAUGUUAUUUCUUGCUUUUCGGUGUGAAGGAAACAAGACCGCUGUAACAAUGGAGCUUUUCCAAAAGCUGCGAUAAGAUCUUCCUUCCGUGUCUGGAACUGCACUCUGAAGCGCUGGACUCUUAAUCAGCACAAAGAGGAAACCAAGGCUUCCUUCCCAGGUCAACUGGCUUCCAUGGACUGCAAAACUACCUUUUACAAAGCGCUCUGGAUGCUGUUAGCCUAGGAACCACUUUCUGUUUCAUUCCCCUUGGCAUUAGACUAAACAAAGCACUGUGUUUCCAUUUUAAUAUGUGGUCCCUUAAAAGACAUUCUUCUCUACAUCAUAAGGAUAAAGCAGCAUAGGUUGUGCUUAUUCAGCCUGUUCCAUCACUAUCACGAUUAUUUACAUUAAAUUAAAAAUAUAGUUCACAAGGCAACCAGUGUGGGUUGGCUUGAGAGGGGCAGGAGUUGUCUUUGAUGAACGAAAUAAUUUUAGAUAAAGUUACCCUGGUAUAUCCCUGCUUAGUGACAAUAAGAACAUUUUAUUCGAUCCAUUCAA